rnacentral:sRNA from 1 species
GCCUCGUGGAGGGUCUCCGGCAUCAGGAAGUGGACGUGGGUGUCCACGGCUCCGGCGGUCAGGAUGCGGCCCUCGCCGGAGACGACGUCGGUGCCGGGGCCGAUCACCAAGUCGGGGUGGAUGCCGUCGCCGGUGUCGGGGUUGCCGGAGCGGCCGAGGGCGACGAUGCGGCCGGCCCUGAUGCCGAUGUCCGUCUUGACGAUGCCCCAGUGGUCCAGGACCACGACGUUGGUGAUGACGAGGUCGAGGGCGCCCUCCGCGCGUGGGGUGGUGGCCUGGCCCAUCGAUUCGCGGAU